rnacentral:rRNA from 1 species
UGGGGAAUAUUGCGCAAUGGGGGCAACCCUGACGCAGCAACGCCGCGUGAUUGAUGAAGGUCUUCGGAUUGUAAAAAUCUUUAAUCAGGGACGAAGAAAAUGACGGUACCUGAAGAAUAAGCUCCGGCUAACUACGUGCCAGCAGCCGCGGUAAUACGUAGGGAGCAAGCGUUAUCCGGAUUUACUGGGUGUAAAGGGCGUGUAGGCGGGCUUGUAAGUUGGAAGUGAAAUCCAGGGGCUUAACCCCUGAACUGCUUUCAAAACUGCGAGUCUUGAGUGAUGGAGAGGCAGGCGGAAUUCCCAGUGUAGCGGUGAAAUGCGUAGAUAUUGGGAGGAACACCAGUGGCGAAGGCGGCCUGCUGGACAUUAACUGACGCUGAGGCGCGAAAGCGUGGGGAGCAAACAG